rnacentral:rRNA from 1 species
UACGUAGGUGGCAAGCGUUGUCCGGAAUUAUUGGGCGUAAAGCGCGCGCAGGCGGUUCCUUAAGUCUGAUGUGAAAGCCCACGGCUCACCCGUGGAGGGUCAUUGGAAACUGGGGGACUUGAGUGCAGAAGAGGAGAGCGGAAUUCCACGUGUAGCGGUGAAAUGCGUAGAGAUGUGGAGGAACACCAGUGGCGAAGGCGGCUUCCUGGACUAAAACUGACACUGAGGUGCGAAAGCGUGGGGAGCAAACAGG